AUUUUUAUUUUCAAUAUUAAACAAUUCUAUAAGCUACUUAAGUUUGUGUUUGGUUCUGAAACUCUGCAUGCAAAAGAAAAAGAACAAAUCUUUAAACCUCUUGUUUAUGAACUUCAAGUUAACUCUUCUUUGGAAUCUUUUCUGCUUUUGUGUAUCACACAAGGUGCUUAUUCUAAGUGCUAAUUCUUGUCAAUUGAUGAUGGUUGAAGAAUUUUAAGCAAAAUGGGUGAAGAAUUUAAACCAGAAUGGCCAAAUUUGAUGAAUCUGCAACAAAUGUGAGUCAAAAUAUAACAACUGCCGCGUUAUCAAAUGAUGAUAACAUGUUACAAUCUCAGAUGCAUAAUGUAACUAAUUCUAUAAAGAAAGAGAGUUUUAGGCCAUCACCACGAGAAGCAAAAGUUCUGGUGAGUCCAAAUAUACAAAGCAAAAGUUCUUCUAUCAGCAAUGUGCCUAAGGAGAAACAAGUUUCAUAAACCUAUUUCAGAAGUCACAACAGUUUCUGAAAUGAACAAGUUGUUGAUUCAAAGUCACACGUCGUAUCGAUCAAUGAAACCAAGGUGGUUUUCAAAUGUUGAUCAAGAGUUAGUUCAGGCAAGAUCAGAGAUUGAAAAUGCACCAAUUGUAAAGAAUGAUCCAGAACUUUAUGGUCCAAUUUAUCAUAAUGUUUCCAUGUUCAAGAGUUAUUACCGUAAAUUUUAGUUUUUUCCUUCCAAACAAUGUCCGUCACGAUUUGGAAUUUAGAACUAAUGUUCCUAAGAUUUCACAAAUACGAAUAUGUUAUAACAAUCUCAGUGAUUGUUUUGAAUGUUUUAAAAGUCGAACCAGACAUCAAACCGGCGAAACCUCAGGAUCAUGGUUCAAUCGCCUUAACAAAGAAAUAAAUUAGUAGUGAUUACUUGAAGCAUGAUGCUUAUUGAUGUUUCUGAAUCAACAUUUAAGCUUCAAAUUUCUAUGUGACUGUUAAAU